UACGUAGGUGGCAAGCGUUGUCCGGAUUUAUUGGGCGCAAAGCGCGCGCAGGCGGUCCUUUAAGUCUGAUGUGAAAGCCCACGGCUCAACCGUGGAGGGUCAUUGGAAACUGGGGGACUUGAGUACAGAAGAGAAGAGUGGAAUUCCACGUGUAGCGGUGAAAUGCGUAGAUAUGUGGAGGAACACCAGUGGCGAAGGCGACUCUCUGGUCUGUAACUGACGCUGAGGCGCGAAAGCGUGGGGAGCAAACAGG
rnacentral:rRNA from 1 species